GCGGGUCCGCCUUGGCUCUCGCGUGCAAGUUCCCUCAUUGCGCACAGCGAGUACCUGAGGGCCGUCUGUCUCCAACCGGAGGGAGCCGUUUCCCCAGGUUACUUAUGUGUACAAGGAGGAAAACAGCUCAACUAAUGGGAACUAUCAUUUUUGUCCUUCUGGAUCUUUCCCCCCCUCCAUCCCUCCUCAUCUGCAACUCCAAGGACACGCUCUGCUUGCGGAAGCCUGUAAAGGUCUGCCUUGAUGAGGAAGCCAGCCUAAGCCCACGCGGGCAGGGCUUGAGAAAUGAUGAAGCAAUCUCAGGAGUUGGGACUCUCCAAGAUUUCCGGAGCUUUCUGAAACUGGCUUGAAGCCUAGAGGAAUGGAGAUGGACAGAAGAUCCUGUCUUGUGUUAAACUCUGAGCAUCCAGUUUAAGCUAAGUGCGCUGCCCUCUUCAAGAUACCACAUAAAUUAACUGAGAGAAUAUAUCCAGCCUCAGCUGUGGAAGAGAUAAAAGCAGGAGAAGCAAAGGGACACAGCCACAACAUACAGAACGGAGCUUCUCCAUGGACAUCCAACCAAGAAGGAAAACAUCUGCAACUUCAUGUAGACCACUCAUCUGCCCUGGGUGAAGCAGGCCCACUUCCUACACAGGAUGUGAACACUCCUCACCCAGCAGCAGAGCCCUGUCAAACUGUCUGACGGGU